UUCGCCCUUAGAGUUUGAUCCUGGCUCAAGAUGAACGCUAGCUACAGGCUUAACACAUGCAAGUCGAGGGGCAGCAUGAACUUAGCUUGCUAAGUUUGAUGGCGACCGGCGCACGGGUGAGUAACACGUAUCCAACCUUCCGUUUACUCAGGGAUAGCCUUUCGAAAGAAAGAUUAAUACCUGAUAGUAUGGUGAGAUUGCAUGAUAACACCAUUAAAGAUUUAUUGGUAAACGAUGGGGAUGCGUUCCAUUAGGUAGUAGGCGGGGUAACGGCCCACCUAGCCUGCGAUGGAUAGGGGUUCUGAGAGGAAGAUCCCCCACAUUGGAACUGAGACACGGUCCAAACUCCUACGGGAGGCAGCAGUGAGGAAUAUUGGUCAAUGGGCGAGAGCCUGAACCAGCCAAGUAGCGUGAAGGAUGAAGGUCCUACGGAUUGUAAACUUCUUUUAUACGGGAAUAAAGUUUCCUACGUGUAGGAUUUUGUAUGUACCUUAUGAAUAAGCAUCGGCUAACUCCGUGCCAGCAGCCGCGGUAAUACGGAGGAUGCGAGCGUUAUCCGGAUUUAUUGGGUUUAAAGGGAGCGCAGACGGGUCGUUAAGUCAGCUGUGAAAGUUUGGGGCUCAACCUUAAAAUUGCAGUUGAAACUGGCAGUCUUGAGUACAGUAGAGGUGGGCGGAAUUCGUGGUGUAGCGGUGAAAUGCUUAGAUAUCACGAAGAACUCCGAUUGCGAAGGCAGCUCACUAGACUGUCACUGACACUGAUGCUCGAAAGUGUGGGUAUCAAACAGGAUUAGAUACCCUGGUAGUCCACACAGUAAACGAUGAAUACUCGCUGUUUGCGAUAUACAGUAAGCGGCCAAGCGAAAGCAUUAAGUAUUCCACCUGGGGAGUACGCCAACAACGGUGAAACUCAAAGGA
rnacentral:rRNA from 1 species